rnacentral:misc_RNA from 1 species
UCCGGUUUGUCACCUACAUGUCAAGCCCAGGUAAGGUUCUUCGCGUUGCGUCGAAUUGAACCACAUGCUCCGCUGCUUGUGCGGGUCCCCGUCAAUUCCUUUGAGUUUUAGCCUUGCGGCCGUACUCCCCAGGCGGGGUACUUAAUGCGUUAGCUUCGGCACAGGAGGAGUCGACACCUCCUACACCUAGUACCCAUCGUUUACGGCGUGGACUAC